GUAUAAUGAUUUUAGCGCUUUUAAGAACAGGAGAAUAUUUUAUUCAAUUUCUAAAUACUUAACUUCCUAUAUUCAAUCUUAAACUAAGCAUUCUCCAAAAAUACACCAAUGAUUCAGCUUAAAAGAUAAAUUGAUCUUUGAUUUGCAUUUUAGAAACAGAGCAAAAGAACUAAUGAAAAUUUUAAACUAGCUAUUUGUAGUGACAUAUUUAAGCAUUUAACAACUUAUGAAAUGGCAAAUCAAGUUGGAUGCUCUCUUAAACACUAGACCCUUAACACAAAUUGGAGACAAAAUUCAACAAACACUCAUGGUGCUUGCAAUUUAGUAGAUACUUACUGCUUUUAAUAAUCUCAACUUUUUACUUUAUGUCCAAGUUACUACUUCAGGAAUUCUCAAUACUUAUUAAUAAAGAAAAAUAACAUGACUCCUGUAACAGCUUUCCUCAAGUUUAAAAAUAUUUGACAGGUUUUCACUAACGCUACUAAUCUACUGGUCUGAAGGUGAACAGGCCUAAGAGAAGAGAAGUGAUUAGGAAAUAGUGUAUAAUUUCAUAAAUAAAGAUGUUCUAUCACUUACUCAUUUUGUCUUAUUUAAUUUGUAUUGGAUUUAAUCACAAGAUAGGGAGGGAACUAAAAUCUAGCUAAAAACUAUUAAGUUAGGCACAUUACGUAACUAUCAUGAGAAUUAUGGAUGCCAACCAACAAGUUUUGAGCAUCUUCAAAUCUUCAUUUACAUCCUUAUGAGGUGACACCCUUUCAAUGGAAAAGAACAGAAAACAUCCAGAAAUCAAGAGAGUUAUACAGAAUCACACNNNNNNNNNNNNNNNNAUUCAGAUCAAGUAUUGUCACUGAGGAUUUUUUAAAUGGAAUCAAACAUUUUUGAACGCACAUACUUAGAAUGCAAACUGACUGUUAUAUAUGCAAGGUACAUUUUAAAAACACAUACACCAAUAGUGAAAACACCAGCAAUCUGAGCAAAAAAAAAUUUAAAAUUUUUUUUUAUUUAUGGGCUGAUGUUUUAUGUACUUAGCCUGUAUUGCCAACUGUACUAUGAGUCUUCGAAGGCAGGUACUUCAUUGUAUAAUGGGCUGAAUAUACAGUAUAAAUUCAAUAAAUACUUAAUUAAGUAGUUAUCUUCCAACUUUAGCUUGGCAGAAAGCUAGGAUGGUGUUUUCAGAAAAUGACAUUAAAUCAGAUAAUUGACAAUAAAGAUGUUAAUAGAUACAAAUUCUACAAUUUAUACAAUGGUUGAUCCAACUGAUUGAGUAUCCCAGAAGGAAUUCUUAGAAAUUAAUAAAGUAGACUUUGUCCCAGAAAGUACAAAACAAGCAGAGCUGUAUACAACUUAGUUUAACUUUUU
rnacentral:lncRNA from 1 species